UUGUAACUGGUUUCUUUUUUACUAUUAAUUUCAUUUUUUUUAUUUGAAUGUACUACUAACUGAUUUUUGUUUUUGUUUUGUUUUGUUUUUCUUUUUUGUAGGUGAUACCAAUGGCAGUAUGUGUUUUUAUUUAUUUGGUUUGUAAAGCUGUGGGUUAUUGCACGUUCUUCGGUUGUGGCCAACUUUUCCGCACCUUGUGCAUUUCAAGACAACUUUUGGUUCUCCUUUUGAUCUUAUUCUUUUCUUUCUAGGUCUCCCAGCUGGUUUUCUUGAUUUUGGUGGCCACACUAUUCUUUCCAUGCUCUCAGGUAUAGUCCAUUCUCUUUCAUUUAGUAGAUGAUGUACAGUUCUUUCAUAGGUUGCCUUCAUUGUUGCUGUUUUGUAGUAAUCGGCAACAUAGUCAUAAGCUCUUAAUCCUCUUUUUGCAAAUACAACUAUUGCAUGUGAGCAUGGUAUCUCAUCUAGUUGGAACCUUCUACAGCUGCAUUUUCUUUCCAGUAUGUUGAUUGUGAAAUCACCUUUUUCUUGCACCUUUACUUGGUAUUGGAUUGUUGUGAUUGCGAUGACCUUUUUUUUUUUUUUUUGAAAUAUAAGAUAUGUGUUAAAAACCGAUUUUUCAUGAUGAUCAAGAAACAGGUUUUUUAAUAACUGUUGUUUUCUAUGAUUUAGUUAUUGUACCUGGUAUUUCAUUGCUUUAAGCAGAUUGUCUCUCAGUAGUUUUUCAGCAUCUGAUGCUACUUCAGUAAAUAUUUCAUGUGCUUCAUUGCCAAUUUUUCACACCCAUUUUUGUACAAGGCUUCUGAAGCACUCAAUCAUUGUUGUUAUAGGUAAUGAUCUUGCAGCUAGGAUCGUCGAAUUUAUUGAUUCUGCUAUGUUUGAAGUCAUCAUUGUGUACCUUCUUGUAGGGGAGUGGCUCCUGGUCCAAACCUCAUGUCCAAUUUUCUCAAGGUAUGGUCUUAUUCGUUUGUCGAUUCUAUCUAUCUCUGCCAUGUAUCUCUCAAAUGAGGUGAGCUUGUACGUCUUUGCUGCCUUUACAAAGUUUAUGGUCAGAUCGUCUCCAUGCACUCCAAAGUUUGUUUUGAUGUUGUUUAGCAGGUCUAAGAUGCAUGCUCUGUGGAAGUGGUUUGGGUAGACAUUGCUCACCGCCUUCUCUAUACUCUUAUGCCUGUCUGAUAUCAUUGUCAAACAUGUUCACAGAAACCAGUUUUUACAAGAUCAGUAGGUUGAUCGGUGCUCUGAGCUUAAGAAUUCGUUUUCUGCUUUAAGGUGAGAGCUUCAUUGCUUGUCAGGUGCCGAUGUUGCAGGUUGCUUCUGUGUGUAUGGCCAUGGCCAUGGCUGUUUUUCAGAUCAGUUUUGUUUGAAUCAGAGGAAUAAUUUGCACAAGGAGAAGAGAUGAAUUGAAUCGGAGAACAUGAAGAAGUGAAUCGCAGGCCAGUCGAAUCGCAGUAGAGAGAGAGAAUCGUAGGAGAGAGAAGUGAGAAUCGCAGUAGAGAGAGAGAGAGGAUUUUGUUUAUAUAUGGUUAAAAAUAGUAAAUUUUAUUCAUUUAAAAUUAGUUUUUGUUUUUAACUUAUUUUAUGGUUUUUUUAAAAAAAAAAAACCAUAUUUGUAGUUUGCUUCCUUAGUUAAUGCCAUAUUUUGUGGCAUUUAGUUUUGUUGCCAUAUUUAUCAUAAGAUGGCUCAUUUUUUUCAUAUUUUUGAAAAUAUCCCAUAAUAAUAUUUCUAAGUAACAUUAAAUAUUGUAUUGACUCUAUCUCUCUUUGUUACGCAAACUAUUGGUCUUGUUUGUUUGCCUUGUCGAAGGCUGUUGAGUUUCCUGUUUGGUCUCCUCUUUCGGAAGAUUGGGUCAAAAUUAAUUGUGAUGUUAAAGUUGAUUACGGAUCCAUGUGUGUGGUGGCUUUAGUUGUUUUGUGGGUGGCUACAAACAUGCUUAA